rnacentral:rRNA from 1 species
AGGAUGAACGCUGGCGGUAUGCUUAACACAUGCAAGUCGAGCGAGUGGCGGACGGGUGAGUAACGCGUGAGAAUCUGCCUUCGGUUCGGGACAACCACUGGAAACGGUGGCUAAUACCGAAUGAGAUGAGCUCGCGUCUGAUUAGCUAGUAGGUGUGGUAAAAGCGCACCUAGGCGACGAUCAGUAGCUGGUCUGAGAGGAUGAUCAGCCACACUGGGACUGAGACACGGCCCAGACUCCUACGGGAGGCAGCAGUGGGGAAUUUUCCGCAAUGGGCGAAAGCCUGACGGAGCAAUACCGCGUGAGGGAGGAAGGCUCUUGGGUUGUAAACCUCUUUUCUCAAGGAUGACGGUACUUGAGGAAUAAGCAUCGGCUAACUCCGUGCCAGCAGCCGCGGUAAUACGGAGGAUGCAAGCGUUAUCCGGAAUGAUUGGGCGUAAAGCGUCCGCAGGUGGCUAUGUAAGUCUGCUGUUAAAUAGUCUAGCUCAACUAGAUAAAGGCAGUGGAAACUACAUGGCUAGAGUGCGUUCGGGGCAGAGGGAAUUCCUGGUGUAGCGGUGAAAUGCGUAGAGAUCAGGAAGAACACCGGUGGCGAAAGCGCUCUGCUAGGCCGCAACUGACACUGAGGGACGAAAGCUAGGGGAGCGAAUGGGAUUAGAUACCCCAGUAGUCCUAGCCGUAAACGAUGGAUACUAGGCGUGGGUGCCGUAGCUAACGCGUUAAGUAUCCCGCC